rnacentral:rRNA from 1 species
GGGUUGUGAGGUUAAGCGACUAAGCGUACACGGUGGAUGCCCUGGCAGUCAGAGGCGAUGAAGGACGUGCUAAUCUGCGAAAAGCGUCGGUAAGGUGAUAUGAACCGUUAUAACCGGCGAUGUCCGAAUGGGGAAACCCAGUGCAAUUCGUUGCACUAUCGUUAACUGAAUACAUAGGUUAACGAGGCGAACCGGGGGAACUGAAACAUCUAAGUACCCCGAGGAAAAGAAAUCAACCGAGAUUCCCCCAGUAGCGGCGAGCGAACGGGGAGCAGCCCAGAGUCUGAAUCAGCUUGUGUGUUAGUGGAACGGUCUGGAAAGUCCGACGGUACAGGGUGAUAGUCCCGUACACCAAAAUGCACAGGUUGUGAACUCGAAGAGUAGGGCGGGACACGUGGUAUCCUGUCUGAAUAUGGGGGGACCAUCCUCCAAGGCUAAAUACUCCUGACUGACCGAUAGUGAACCAGUACCGUGAGGGAAAGGCGAAAAGAACCCCGGCGAGGGGAGUGAAAAAGAACCUGAAACCGUGUACGUACAAGCAGUGGGAGCACCUUCGGGUGUGACUGCGUACCUUUUGUAUAAUGGGUCAGCGACUUAUAUUCUGUAGCAAGGUUAACCGUAUAGGGGAGCCGCAGGGAAACCGAGUCUUAACUGGGCGUUAAGUUGCAGGGUAUAGACCCGAAACCCGGUGAUCUAGCCAUGGGCAGGUUGAAGGUUGGGUAACACUAACUGGAGGACCGAACCGACUAAUGUUGAAAAAUUAGCGGAUGACUUGUGGCUGGGGGUGAAAGGCCAAUCAAACCGGGAGAUAGCUGGUUCUCCCCGAAAGCUAUUUAGGUAGCGCCUCGUGAAUUCAUCUUCGGGGGUAGAGCACUGUUUCGGCUAGGGGGUCAUCCCGACUUACCAACCCGAUGCAAACUACGAAUACCGAAGAAUGUUAUCACGGGAGACACACGGCGGGUGCUAACGUCCGUCGUGAAGAGGGAAACAACCCAGACCGCCAGCUAAGGUCCCAAAGUCAUGGUUAAGUGGGAAACGAUGUGGGAAGGCACAGACAGCCAGGAUGUUGGCUUAGAAGCAGCCAUCAUUUAAAGAAAGCGUAAUAGCUCACUGGUCGAGUCGGCCUGCGCGGAAGAUGUAACGGGGCUAAACCAUGCACCGAAGCUGCGGCAGCGACACUAUGUGUUGUUGGGUAGGGGAGCGUUCUGUAAGCCUGCGAAGGUGNNNNNNNNNNNNNNNNNNNNNNNNNNNNNNNNNNNNNNNNNNNNNNNNNNNNNNNNNNNNNNNNNNNNNNNNNNNNNNNNNNNNNNNNNNNNNNNNNNNNUGCUGGAGGUAUCAGAAGUGCGAAUGCUGACAUAAGUAACGAUAAAGCGGGUGAAAAGCCCGCUCGCCGGAAGACCAAGGGUUCCUGUCCAACGUUAAUCGGGGCAGGGUGAGUCGACCCCUAAGGCGAGGCCGAAAGGCGUAGUCGAUGGGAAACAGGUUAAUAUUCCUGUACUUGGUGUUACUGCGAAGGGGGGACGGAGAAGGCUAUGUUAGCCGGGCGACGGUUGUCCCGGUUUAAGCAUGUAGGCUGAUUGUCCAGGCAAAUCCGGAUAAUCAAGGCUGAGGUGUGAUGACGAGGCACUACGGUGCUGAAGUAACAAAUGCCCUGCUUCCAGGAAAAGCCUCUAAGCAUCAGGUAACAUCAAAUCGUACCCCAAACCGACACAGGUGGUCAGGUAGAGAAUACCAAGGCGCUUGAGAGAACUCGGGUGAAGGAACUAGGCAAAAUGGUGCCGUAACUUCGGGAGAAGGCACGCUGGUGUGUAGGUGAAGUCCCUGCGGAUGGAGCUGAGACCAGUCGAAGAUACCAGCUGGCUGCAACUGUUUAUUAAAAACACAGCACUGUGCAAACACGAAAGUGGACGUAUACGGUGUGACGCCUGCCCGGUGCCGGAAGGUUAAUUGAUGGGGUUAUCCGUAAGGAGAAGCUCUUGAUCGAAGCCCCGGUAAACGGCGGCCGUAACUAUAACGGUCCUAAGGUAGCGAAAUUCCUUGUCGGGUAAGUUCCGACCUGCACGAAUGGCGUAAUGAUGGCCAGGCUGUCUCCACCCGAGACUCAGUGAAAUUGAACUCGCUGUGAAGAUGCAGUGUACCCGCGGCAAGACGGAAAGACCCCGUGAACCUUUACUAUAGCUUGACACUGAACAUUGAGCCUUGAUGUGUAGGAUAGGUGGGAGGCUUUGAAGCGUGGACGCCAGUCUGCGUGGAGCCAACCUUGAAAUACCACCCUUUAAUGUUUGAUGUUCUAACGUUGGCCCCUUACCGGGGUUGCGGACAGUGUCUGGUGGGUAGUUUGACUGGGGCGGUCUCCUCCCAAAGCGUAACGGAGGAGCACGAAGGUUAGCUAAUCCUGGUCGGACAUCAGGAGGUUAGUGCAAUGGCAUAAGCUAGCUUGACUGCGAGCGUGACGGCGCGAGCAGGUGCGAAAGCAGGUCAUAGUGAUCCGGUGGUUCUGAAUGGAAGGGCCAUCGCUCAACGGAUAAAAGGUACUCCGGGGAUAACAGGCUGAUACCGCCCAAGAGUUCAUAUCGACGGCGGUGUUUGGCACCUCGAUGUCGGCUCAUCACAUCCUGGGGCUGAAGUAGGUCCCAAGGGUAUGGCUGUUCGCCAUUUAAAGUGGUACGCGAGCUGGGUUUAGAACGUCGUGAGACAGUUCGGUCCCUAUCUGCCGUGGGCGCUGGAGAAUUGAGGGGGGCUGCUCCUAGUACGAGAGGACCGGAGUGGACGCAUCACUGGUGUUCGGGUUGUCAUGCCAAUGGCACUGCCCGGUAGCUAAAUGCGGAAGAGAUAAGUGCUGAAAGCAUCUAAGCACGAAACUUGCCCCGAGAUGAGUUCUCCCUGAGACUUUAAGUCUCCUGAAGGAACGUU